UCAGUCUCCUGGGUUACCUACCCACGGUAGCCUUUCCUUAUAGUGCAGACAGACAUGGAAUGGAUAUAGCAAAGGAUGACACAGAGACAAAGUCUGGUGCAGUAGGCAACCUCUACUGAUCAUGAAGGUGUCUUGCAAACUGGAUCCACUGGGUAGAAGCAAUGCAGAACAGCUUGACAGCUGAAGGAUAUCAUUGUCAACACAAGGAAUCUACAUCACACAUGCCAUGGGAAGCUGACACUGCCUCAUUCUACUCAUAGGGGCCUUACAACUGCAGGACUCUUAUAUGUCUUAUCCUACAUUGGGAUCCCUGCUUGUGACAGAAGUUCCCCAUUCCAGAUGGAGCUCCCUAGCACAAAACAUCAACAGGCCACAAGUGACAGCUGCAACAGCAGUGGAGCAAAGCAAACUGUAAGAAGCUGCUGCCAAUUUCCAGAGACUUCAGACUGGCACCCGAAGAGUCCACAGGUGUGAGCCACAGUGACUGCCUACUGAUUGAGUCUGGGGAUCCUUGUGAACCGCCUGAACAAUGCUGGGAAAUGCCUGUGCCUGAGUGACCCCAGCUAUGGCCAGUACUCAAUUACUACUUUGGCCUUUUGGUACUGUCCCAAAAGAAGCUGCUAUCCUGAAUUCAGUGGCCAGGGACUAUCGGCAACUGAAAGCAUUUAACAGUAUAGGAUAAAGACUUAGAAGAGUCCCCUGUGAGUGGAAUCAGGCACUGUCAGCUUCCCAUGGCACAUGUGAUGUGGAUUCCUUGUGAUGACACUGUGAUCUUCAGCUCUCAAGCCAUUGAGAACCUGAAAAGAAAUGGGACCAGAAACAAUAGAGGAAUGAAAAUAUAGGAGAAGGGUUUAAGGAUCCAGAGUUCCAGGGAGCUGUCUUCAGGGCUGAGAACUGUAACACUAAUCCCUGUACAGGACCAGAAGCCAGCAUUUCUUUUUUUUUAAUUAGGAAUAGAAACCAUGACUAAGACACCAGCAUCUCUGAACUUCUGAUGUGGAAUGAAGAUUACCUUGGAUUUCUCAGACACUGGAUCACCAGCCAGACAGCAUACACCAGCUGAUAUGAGGCCACCAACACAUAUACAAGAG
rnacentral:lncRNA from 1 species